rnacentral:sRNA from 1 species
ACUGCGGGAGUGGAGCCGGCGAGUGAGUGGCAGCGGGGGCUGAUGGAAGUGCAGUGGGGGCUGGAGAGGGCACCCUACUGUAUCCAGCAUGCUCCAAGGCCACAGCUCUGUGUUCCAGGCCUUGCUGGGGACCUUCUUCACCUGGGGGAUGACAGCAGCUGGGGCAGCUCUCGUGUUCGUAUUCUCUAGUGGACAGGUCAUGUUGGCAGCUUCCUAUUGGUCUCUUCUGGCCCCAGCAGUUGAGAUGGCCACGUCCUCUGGGGGCUUCGGUGCCUUUGCCUUCUUCCCCGUGGCUGUUGGCUUCACCCUUGGAGCGGCUUUUGUCUACUUGGCUGACCUCCUGAUGCCUCACUUGGGUGCAGCAGAAGAUCCCCAGACGGCCCUGGCACUGAACUUCGGCUCUACGUUGAUGAAUAAGAAGUCUGAUCCUGAGGGUCCCACGCUGCUCUUCCCUGAGAGUGAACUUUCCAUCCGGAUAGGUAGAGCUGGGCUUCUUUCAGGCAAGCUCUUUGCUGCAGACACUGAGCUGAGUCAGGCAAUAUGGACAUGGGGGCUGGUGGUAGGAUGA